GUGUGUGUGAAGCUCAGUUGGCAGAGCUUGAGACUCUUAAUCUCAAGGUCGUGGGUUCGAGUCCCACAUUGGGCA